rnacentral:rRNA from 1 species
CCUACGGGUGGCAGCAGUGGGGACUAUUGCGCAAUGGGCGAAAGCCUUACGCAGCGACGCCGCGUGAGGGAUGAAGGUCUUCGGAUCGUAAACCUCUGUCAGCAGGGAAGCACGGUCACUGUGCUAAUCAGCAGUGAAUUGACGGUACCUGCAAAGGAAGCACCGGCUAACUCCGUGCCAGCAGCCGCGGUAAUACGUAGGGUGCGAGCGUUAAUCGGAAUUACUGGGCGUAAAGCGCUCGUAGGCGGUAUGUCAAGUCAAGGGUGAAAUCCCCGCGCUCAACGUGGGAACUGCCUUUGAAACUGGCAAACUGGAGUGUGUGAGAGGAUAGUGGAAUUCGAGGUGUAGGAGUGAAAUGCGUAGAUAUCUGGAGGAACAUCAGUGGCGAAGGCGACUAUCUGGCACAUAACUGACGCUGAGGAGCGAAAGCGUGGGUAGCAAACAGGAUUAGAUACCCGGGUAGUC